AUGUCGUGCAAUCCCGUUUCGUUCUCGAGCAGGCUGAGUCCCACGAGCAUGCCCCCUUGCAUCUGCCCUGGGAGAAACUCUAGCAGGGUAGAGAAAAUUAGAGAAGAAAGGAUAUUAUUACACGGUGCAAUUGUAUUUUCAUCCUCGAGGCUUGCCGAACGCAGGCUUCUGGGUCUCCUGCCUAGAGGCUCCACUCCAGCCAGCAGGGAAGCCAGGAUUGAUCGUUCCUGCCAGUUAGUCGGGCAUGAUGACAGCAGUCAUGCCUUCUGCAGAGGAACCGUGAGGAAGAAGCAAGAUGCAUCGCCUGAGGGCAUGUAA
rnacentral:lncRNA from 13 species